GAUGAACGCUGGCGGCGUGCCUAAUACAUGCAAGUCGAGCGAACAGACGAGGAGCUUGCUCCUCUGACGUUAGCGGCGGACGGGUGAGUAACACGUGGAUAACCUACCUAUAAGACUGGGAUAACUUCGGGAAACCGGAGCUAAUACCGGAUAAUAUAUUGAACCGCAUGGUUCAAUAGUGAAAGACGGUUUUGCUGUCACUUAUAGCUGGAUCCGCGCCGCAUUAGCUAGUUGGUAAGGUAACGGCUUACCAAGGCAACGAUGCGUAGCCGACCUGAGAGGGGGAUCGGCCACACUGGAACUGAGACACGGUCCAGACUACUACGGGAGGCAGCAGUAGGGAAUCUUCCGCAAUGGGCGAAAGCCUGACGGAGCAACGCCGCGUGAGUGAUGAAGGUCUUCGGAUCGUAAAACUCUGUUAUUAGGGAAGAACAAAUGUGUAAGUAACUAUGCACGUCUUGACGGUACCUAAUCAGAAAGCCACGGCUAACUACGUG
rnacentral:rRNA from 1 species